rnacentral:rRNA from 1 species
CCUACGGGAGGCAGCAGUCGGGAAUAUUGCGCAAUGGAGGAAACUCUGACGCAGUGACGCCGCGUAUAGGAAGGAGGUUUUCGGAUUGUUAACUCUUGUCGAUGGGGGAGCGAAUGGACAGUACCUAAGGAGGAAGCUCUGGCUAACUACGUGCCAGCAGCCGCGGUAAUACGUAGGGAGCGAGCGUUAUCCGGAAUGAUUUGGCGUAAAGGGUGGGUAGCCGGGAAUGCAAGUUAGUUGUGAAAUCCCUCGGCUUAACUGAGGAACUGCAACUAAAACUACAUUUCUAGAGUGCAGGAGAGGUAAGUGGAAUUCCUAGUGUAGCGGUGAAAUGCGUAGAUAUUAGGAGGAACACCAGUGGCGAAGGCGGCUUACUGGACUGUAACUGACGUUGAGGCACGAAAGCGUGGGGAGCAAACGGGAUUAGAUACCCGAGUAGUC